GUUUUGCGCACGCGCGGGAGGCGGCCUCGGGGCGUCCGGGGCCUGAUGGUUGCUAGGGUGACAGCGAUACAACAUGGCGGCCGGAUCCUAACGCUCUCUGUCGAGGAGCCAGCGCGGAGGUCCUGGUUCGGGACCCUGCCUCACAGGAGUGGAAGCCAGGGGGCCUCCCUUUCUGCCCCUUUCUUCUCCGCCCAGUGUCGGCAAGGGCUUGUCGUCGGCUUCCGCAUCCAGGAUGAAGAACUAUAAAGCAAUUGGCAAAAUAGGAGAGGGAACGUUUUCCGAAGUUACGAAGCUGCAAAGCCUGAGAGACGGAAGCUACUACGCGUGUAAGCAAAUGAAACAACACUUUGGAAGUAUCGAGCAAGUGAACAGUCUACGGGAGAUACAAGCACUGAGGCGCCUGAACCCACACCCGAACAUCCUCACGUUGCACGAAGUGGUUUUUGACAGAAAAUCUGGUUCUCUUGCACUAAUAUGUGAACUUAUGGACAUGAAUAUUUAUGAGCUAAUACGAGGGAGAAGACACCCAUUACCGGAGAAGAGAAUUACGUGCUAUAUGUACCAGUUAUGUAAAUCCCUUGAUCACAUGCACAGAAAUGGAAUAUUUCACAGAGAUGUAAAACCAGAAAAUAUAUUAAUAAAGCAGGACGUCCUGAAACUAGGGGACUUUGGGUCCUGCCGGAGCGUCUACUCCAAGCAGCCGUAUACCGAGUACAUCUCCACGCGCUGGUACCGCGCCCCGGAGUGCCUCCUCACCGACGGCUUCUACACCUACAAGAUGGAUCUGUGGAGUGCAGGCUGUGUGUUCUACGAGAUCGCCAGCCUUCAGCCCCUCUUCCCCGGAGCCAACGAGCUGGACCAGAUCUCAAAAAUCCACGACGUCAUCGGCACACCUGCGGAGAAGACUCUCACCAAGUUCAAACAGUCGAGAGCUAUGAGUUUUGAUUUUCCUUUUAAAAAGGGAUCAGGAAUACCUCUACUGACAGCCAAUUUGUCCCCGAAAUGCCUCUCCCUCCUGCACGCAAUGGUGGCCUACGACCCCGACGAGAGAAUCACUGCCCAUCAGGCCCUGCAGCACCCCUACUUCCAGGACCAGAGGGCAGUGGAGAAGCAGGCUCUGGCCAGCCACAGGAAGUCCGUCUUCUCAGAGUGCCCCGUGGCUCCGGAACUACUCCUUAACGGCUGGCAGAUUUCAAAGGAGGGCAGGAAACAGAAACCGUCCCUAAAGCCAGAGGAGGACCCUCCCACGAGACAGGGACCCGCCUGCCUGAUGCAACUGCCCAAACUGAAGCUUUCGGGGGUGACCGAACUGGCCUCGUACCCCAGCCCCGCGCUGCACUCCGUGUUCGGACCCGGAGCGAACGGCAAAGUCCCGGUGCCGAGGCCCCCGAAGUUUGUCGGCACAAACCAGAAGGCAGACCCGCAGAAGGACGCGAAGCCUAACAUGAAACAGUGUCGUCUGCCCUCGAUAGGGAGGAGAGGCGGCCGCUACUGAGCAGCACACGCCGGUCGCCUCCCAGGGGCAGCACUGCGCGGAACCAGGUGCGGCCGGGCCGCCGCGAUCGCCUCCGAGCCUUGGGUGGAGGGCUCCGGGGAGAGCCCCGUCCCCCUCGCGGAGCCUGGCGCCCCGAGAGCGUUGCCCCGCUGGCCAGCCGGAGCCCGGGAUCUGCACCCCGAGAGCGGCCGUGCUGUGUUCCUGCCGAAUACGUUCGUCAGACCAGCUCAUUCGGGGCUUUUGUUUCAUUCUCGUAACGUUUUGUGAGCAUAUUUGGGGAAUUUAUUUUGUUGGGAAGACCGGUACGGCUUAAUUUUGUCGCGCUUGAAAAGCCCGUAAGGAGUAAACGCAGGCCUGGCCUGGGUGCCGAGGCAGGGAGGCCGCCCAGCAGGAGGCUCGUCGGCGCAGGCUUCACAGCUUCCUCCCAUGGAACUCGCUUUGCCGUGAUGGACAGCAGAGGCACCGGGGAAAGACUGCCGCUCAAACAAAAAUUCAAUGUCCAGCUCACCUUCUCCCUGUACGCCGUGCUUUAGUUUAAAGGUUACUGGGGGACAAAGAGAAAGAUGGAGAACACACACAGGCCCCCAACAGAGACCAGACCACUCUCAGGAGGGAGGCCAGCUGCCAUCGUCACAUAAGAACAGUUUGGGGCGCAUCCCGGGGGGGGGGGGGGCUCCCCGGACCCGCCAUCCGUGGCAGAUGCACAGUGGCCCUGCCGCCCGGUCUGCCUGCUCCCGAGGCCGGCUUGCACUUCACUGUGUCCUCACUGGUUAUUUUCACGGGGAGGGGACAGCAAAGACCAGGCCCGGUUUAGAGACAGCCGUGCCCGUCUGGCCUGCCCGACGACCUUGCCGUGUCGGUGUCCUCAGCGGUGUGGGGACCAGUUUCACGAACAGCAAGUCUGCCCCGGCCCAGACCCCGCGAAUCUGCCUAACACCCUAUCAGGCCCCAGGAAGGAAGCGGUUACUGGAAUAGUGACAAUCCGGAGUCUAAUAUUUACUAGGCUGUCCUGCCGUCACCAGACUUGCCGUUUUAUUGCCGCUAGAGAUCUCACUCGAAAAUUAAGUGAGGAGAUACUCCAGCUCUUGGUCACACAGAGACUAAGAGGCAGAUGCCAUUUGUAAAUUGAUGUCCUUCUACAGAUGGCACGGGCACAGUGAGAAAUCUCAGCAGGCUAACUUCUUCCAGAACGCCCGAGCCACACACCCCUCUUGCCCGACCCUCCACGAGACCCUCACGGCUCGCAUGACCCAAGCACUGCAUGAAGAGCCCGUGGAAGCCUGGCGGAGCCGAAGCCCCAGACCGCACGGCCAGGGUCAGGGGUGGGCACAGCACAGCCCUGGUUCCCCGCGAGGGUGACUCCCCCACAACGCGCCCCCCCCCCCCCCCCGGGCCCCUCGUGGCCCUCGACCCACUGCUCACUUUGGGCCUGGGGCCUUGGCUCCUGCUGGGCAGUAAACAGACCCUGUCCCUGUGGUAGCCUUGACCUGCCCAACGACAGGUCACAUCAGGGGUGACAAUUUCCCCCAGGGAGACCACUCGGCCUGAUGCCUCAAGAGAAACUCACCCGGAGAAAAUGAUGCUCUUUUCAGACAUCCGGGCAAAAGGCUUUCUUGGGGCACAAGCAUGUCGGGGCAGCUCAGAACUCUGCCUGGGGAGAAAGCACCCCCUUCCUAUGGCAGGAGGAGGGGACGCUCUUGUGUACCCUAAAAGCGCCUCUGGCUGGAGUCGCUUCAAGAGGGUCUCAGCCAUGCUGGCCCCCACCCAGAGCGAGAUGCUGGUCUGGAGGCCACCAGCACUCAAGGAGGGGAGGGGACGGGGCGCCUCCAGAGGCUCUGUCCCUUGCAGGAGACCACGGGUCCACAGUCAACGGUUUCUUCCGACAGGCAGACACGGGAGGAUGGAGUAUUUUUUCAAGGCACAGACUAUUUUUAAAAGAUUAAAAUGUCGUGUGUGUCUUUCUCAACUUGCUGUCAACCUCGCAGCGUUUAGGGCCGAAAAUCUACUCCCCGCUAAGGGAAAAACACGCCGUUGCUGUGGCGGGCAAUCAGGUCGGCCGCUGUGAGGGCGGACGAGCGACAGGCUCUUCUGCGCUGGCAGCUCAGCGUGAGAGGUGAAGUGCACGACACUUCGCGCCGGGCGCUCGGGAGGACGGCACCGUCAGAGGGUUCGGGGUCCAGCCCCCGGAGCAGGCGGAGAGGCAGCCCGGAGGGAGCUCCAGGCCCGAACGUCUCCUGUCAAGGAGCAGCCCCGGGGCCCGACCAGGUGACCUCCCACAGCCUCCGGGGCCCUUGCAGAUCCAGGCUGGAGUCCGGCCUCGAGGGGCUCAGGGCCAGAGAGAGGCCGGGGUGCAGCUGGGGGGCCGGGGGCAGGGGGAGGACACCUCCCUGCAGGACGAGGCGAACCGCUGACUCUCCCCACCCCACGUGGGCUGGGCGUCUCCGGAAGGACGGCUCCACGGCGGCCCCGAGGCCUCAGGCGGGCCAUGUGAGACAAGGAGGAAGAAAGACGAGGACAGCCCGGGACAGGAGCUCCUCCAGGAGCCGGCCCGCCUCGGUGCCCCCAGCUACUGGCCAGGGAACCCGACGGGACGCCCGACGCCGAGCCGCUGGCGGCCCAGGCCGCCCCCUCACGCGUCCGCGCCGUCGCCGAGGAGUCCGUCGGCAGCCCUCGCCCAGACGGGACAGUCGGCACCUCUGCCGCUCGGAGCAGUGAGUCUCCAGUCACGAGGACGCGGAACUGGGCGGAAGUGUGGGAACUCCCGUGGCUGUUGGCGCUCUCGACGUGAACAAGCACCGAGAAGCUUCCUUCUCCGGCCAGCCGGGACUGCCGUACAGCCUCGCUGUGGAAGCGACCACUGGAAACUGUCUAUGCGUCCGGUGUUGGCACGCGUUUACGGACAGAGGGCCCCCGAGCGCCUGGGGACACGCGUGGGCGGGGAGGCCCCGGCCGCGACGGGGACGAGGGAACAGCUAAGACCCAAGACAGUGCCACACAAACACCGUUUUCUUAACAUGAGGAAUCACCGAUACUGCCAUGAAAGCCUCAUUAAUUACUGUAACAGUUAACCUACCAGCAUGUCAUGUUAGGAAGGCUCUUCAUCAAAUUUAUUUGUCAAGAAGUUAGAUGAAAACGUAAAAAAGGACACACAUUUCACUUCUGAUUUUCAUUAAACGUAAAUAAUCAUACAAUUUUA